rnacentral:sRNA from 1 species
UACCCGGUAGGUAAGGCUACUACGGGGAUACGGGCUGUUGCCGCAAAGCGAUGGAGACAUCGCGCGCAGGUUUGAACAGGCCGCGUCGAAAAACAAGGCGCGGCAUAACACAGCUUCAUCGCCCCGCGAAGUCAAAGCUCAAACGGUA